UUUGUUAAAAUUCUGAAUUUAUCCACUCUCUCAAAUCCAGUGAGCAUUUUUAUGACCAUUACUUCAAACUCUAUCAGGUAGAUUGCUUAUCUUUGUUUUACUUAGUUCUUUUUCUAAUGUUUUGUCUUAUUCAUUCAUUUGGAGCAUAUAUUUCUGUAUCUUUAGUUUUGAUAUUUUGUUUCUAUGAAUCAGGCUCAAUAGCUAUCUCUUACAGAUUCGAAGAAGUGUCCUUGUGUAAGAACAUUCCCUCAGUUCGCUGUGCCUUGUGGCAUUGGCUGGCUGGCAGGAGCUCUAGCAGGUAUGGCUGGAGGUCUCAGGGCACUCUACACUGAGGCCUCCCUGGUAAGACAACUGUACAGGAAGACAGCAAAGUCAGGGGGUCCCACGGUACUCCAUGUAGGGGGUACCCUGGCAGGAUGACUGGAGCUGACAUGGGCUGGGGGGUGCCCAAGGUGUCCAUGUGGGGGCACAGUGGUGGGAUGGCUGGAGCUGAAGAGGACAUGACCAGGUAGUCCUGGGGUGCUUUGUGCCAUGGUCACUUGCAGGGUAGCUGGAGCAGAAGUGGGUGUGGGUGUUGAUGCUCUAGGGUUAAUGACUGAGUUUCCUUCAUUUGUAGUCUAGUUGCUUUUUAAACCAUCGCUUGUUUUCUGUGGCUCAGAAAACAGUGCUAUUAGUGCUAUCCCGUCCACUGCAGUUCAAAAUGUCAGACCUGCCGAGCAGGUCUUCAUGACCUGCCCCAAUAAGCCUCAUCUCAUAGACAGGUAAAAAGCCAUGGGAUGAGAUAAUUCAGAAAUGGACAGAAAUGUAAAGCUUUAGUGAGGACCUUAUUUUCCUAAAAAUAAAGAAUGGAAUUGCUCCAGUUUAAUUCAGUAUUAAAGAUUCACAGAACAGUCAGGAUCUGUCCCAUUCAGUGAAUAAUGGGCAUGAGGUAAAUCUUGGGCAUCUCAGUAUUUGGGAAGGGGCAUAUUUAAUUAUUCUCCUCUGCUUUUCACGUGGAGGGUUUGGCCUGAUGAGACAUGUUAAGAGGGACCUCACAGUAAACACCUCCCACACUUCAGCCAAGUAGAGAAAGGAGUAAAGUGGGAUUCAUCAUCUAGGCAUGACUAGGGCAGAGCCCAACUCCUGACUUUAUGAUUAGAAUCAGUAUGUGGUAUAUGGGAUUAUCUGGAAUCAAGCCAGUCACCAUGCUGGACAUCUCCUUUCAGACAACUGUAAAUCCUUGGACACACACAUCUAGACCAGUGCUUCCAUGAGGUGAUGGUGUCUGCAGAGGUGAAGGGGCACUGGAUCAGCCAUGCUCUCCUUCCUCCUGGAUCAAUGAUAGGCAACCCGGGGCAUCUGGUAUCUGAGGCUGAAUUCUGUGGGGAAGACUAACAGCAUCUGUAGCCUGUGGAGGAGACUGGGCCUGAAGAUUCUCUUUUGUUGUUAUUUUUUAUUAGCUAGCAUGCACCCUCUCAGGCCUGUAUUGAGCCUACCUCUUCUCAGGUCAGUCCCUUUAGGCCUUACCUGUGUAUCAUUACCUAGAUUGUAUCUGUGCCAUUUCUCUAUUCCCUUGUUUGUCUUCUUGGUCCCUAUGGACCCUACACAUAACAAACAACUUGUCCAAAGAAUGAGAUUGUCUCUCUUCUGUCCUACCAUUUCAUACAAGUCUUCUCGACCCUUUGGACAUUCCCCUCAAUGGCCAGGACAGUAGAAUUUCCAUGCUUUUUACCUGAAGUGGCGGGAAAUCGGAAUCUUCAAUCUUAUCAGUCUUCUCUCAAAAUCUUAGGUGUCUUCUCUCAGAAUUACACAGUUUUUAUUACCACCUCAGGCUGGUUCUGGCCAACACUGAUUCCUGGCCCUGGUUCAGUUAACUGACAAGCUCUUCCUGCCCUGUAACAGACAUGAGGAAGAGCCCUAAGGCUGUGAAUGAAGCUAAGCAUGGAAGCCAAGACCUGCAUUACGGAGUAGUGGCAGAGUUCAGGCUAACACAAGACAUCACAAGUCACCAAGGCCAUGGCACAGAAUGUGGAGUUUUUCUGUGAUGCUGAAGAUCCAGAGAUCUGCGGGUCUUUUUCCAUUAGUACUAGGAAAGGAGGUGAGGAGAUAUCCAGGAUUCAUCAGAUAUAAUUCCUUCUGAAUCUGGAGCAGAAUCCUAAUUUGGGGAAGGAGAGGUGUCUGAAUUAGAGAUGCUAAUUAUGAGCUGGGGGAGGCUGGAGCAGAGUGUACUGCAAUGGCCAUUGUCUGGAGUGCAGGGCUCAGCUUUUUACUCCAUCUAGGCCAGUCUGGGCUAUGAGUUUCAAGAGGAAAACAGCUCCAGAGAUUCUAACGUUUGGGCUACAUUGGCUCGACUCCUCACCUUCUACAUUGAAAUUCUUACAUGAAGAGUGAUUCAGCCUGAAUGCAGAAUGUCAGGCUGCUGGAGGCACAGAACAUGUAAGCAAAGAUUGGCAAGACCUAUGUGCAAGAGUACUGUCCUGCACAGAGGCAUCGCCAUGUUUAGCGACUAGCACUGACUCAAGAAUCUCAAAUGCUUUCCAAUUGGGAACCAAGGAUGUUCAGAAGGUGUGUUGGGCCUCACAACUGGGUUCUAUUAAGUGUAUUUAACAGUCUGCGUUUGCUCUAUUUUUCCCCAAAGGUUCCAGUCUUAGGUGUCUUUAUGGGCUGACUUCUUUGCCAAGAACUCCCAUCUUUGUCACCUGCAGUGAAACCUUAAAGGGUAAAGGGCUAGGAUUUUAGCUUCCGUCUUCAACAUCACACUCACCCAUAAGCCUGACACAAUCUUGCACAGGGGAGAUGGAGCUACCAGAACCAGGUGUCCACACAGUGUCCCCUCUGAAGAGGUGCAGAGAUACACCUGCCAGAUGGAAUGAAGGCCAAACACACUUCCUGUGACCCCUCAUGAGGAGCAAAGGAAACAACCUGGUAUGAGGGUUCAGAUCUUGGGAGGGUUAAGCCCAAUAAGGGUUGAUGCCAAUAAGGAUUAAGAACGCAAGUUCCCAGGGCACCUGGGCAGUUCAGUCUGUUAACUGUCUGGCUCUUAAUCUCAGUUCAGGUCUUGAUCUCAGGGUCCUGAGUUCAAGCCCAAUGUUUCAAAAAAUGCAAAUUUUCAUGAAAUGUAUCCAAUGCAUUGAGCAGAAGAUGGAAUAAUUGCUACUACUAAGAUGAUUGUCACACAUCCUGGAUUUGUUAUUGUACUAAGUGUACUUUGGAAGAAAAACAUCAUAUUGAGGUGUUUGCUCAGGUGAGGAACAGAAUUUGAUGAGGGAGAGAAGAAAAGGCUCUAAGCCUCACCCAUUUAGGGAGCAAGGGGCUCUAUCAUCAAUCAACACAGCCCUACAGCAGAUGGGCUUUCUUCCCGCUUACAGAUAGGUGCUGGAGUGGGAGGUGGACAAAUAAGGAGCCACCCUGUGUCUUCCUCCUGUGGUCCCCCUUGCAGCCACAGAGAGCUUGGUGGUCUGAUUUUUUACUUACCUUUGCUUCUUCCUCUUUGUGGUACAACAGACCAUGAGAUGAGAAGUGUGUGGCUACAAGGGCUGCCUGGGUGGCUUAGUCGGUUAAGCCUCUGUCUUCGGCUCAGGUUAUGAUCCCAGAAUCUUGGGACUGAGUCCCUGUGCUGGAUUUCCUGCUCAGCAGAGAGCCUGCUUCUUCCUCUCCCACUCCCCCUGCUCUCUGGUCUUCUCACACUCUCUCUGUGAAAUAAAAUCUUUGGGGAAAAGAAAAGUAUCAGACUAAACACCUCUAAAUCUGGAGAAAUAACUGGGAACCAAGGCCACACCCUGAGAAAUAACCAAAUGGAUAUAGACAGGAGCUCUGUUGGUGAUUCUAGGCAAUGUCACAGCCAGCCUGACAGGGCAGAAGGAGGGCAGGGCCAGGGCACCAGUCAGUGGCUGAGCUCCAACUGGGUUAUGCAUAAACUGGAAAUGCCAAGAGCCAGCUCCUACUUGUGUCCUCUCCUCCAUGGGCCUGACAAACAUGGACAGUGGUAUGAGGCCUUGGCCUUUUUCACCCUACAAAGAGCGAGAAAACCCAAGAGACAAAGAUUCCCAAAGGACUGACAGCUGAUGAUGCCACCAAGAUGAAGAAGGAGAGGCCCAUUAUAGGGAAACACCAGAACAAAGACUGGAGCUAUCUCAAAGAAGGAAGAUGCUCUCCUAAUAAUAAGAGAACGAUGUUAAAUAUUUAUUCAAUUUUUGUGUGUUGUCUUCUGUUUAGUCUCCCUGAUAAAGAAGGUCCAGAAGGGCAGAGCUUUUUAGUUUUUAAUAAAUUUUCUUUUUACAGCAAUUUUAGGUUCAGAGCAAGAUUGAGAGAAAGGUACACAUUUGUCCCACAUCCCCCUUGUCUGCACACAUGAUUAACCUCCAGCAUUAUCUACAUUCUCCACUAAAGUGGUACUUUUGUUUCAAUUUAUGAACCUAUAUUGACACAUCACAAUCAGCUGAAGUCCAAAGUUUAUGUUCGGGUUCAAUCCCCGUGUACAAUCUAUGGGUUUGACAAAGGUACAAUGACACACAUCUAUUAUUACUGUAUUCUACAGAGAAGUUUCAGUGUUCUGCCUAAACCUCCUUCCAUCCGCUUUGACCCUGGCAACCACUGAUCUUUUCCUAGUCAUCCUACUUUUGCCUUUUCAUAUGUUCAAAGACUAUACAGCUGGAGUCACCGAAUGUCAUAUAGUUGGAAUCAUACAAUAUGCAGCCUUUUCAGAUUGACUUCUUUCACUUAGUAAUAUGCAUUUAACAUUUUUCCAUGCCUUUUCAUGGCAUGAUAGCUCAUUUCUUUUUAUCACUGAAUAAUACACUCCUUUUUCUGGAUAUAUCCUAGUGUUUUUUUUUGUUUGUUUUUUGUUUUUUGGUUUUUUUUUUUUAACCUCUUCACAUCCUUCAGGACAUCUUGGUUGCUUCUAAGUUAUGGCAACUAUGGAUAAAAUUCCUAUAAAUGUCUGUUUACAGGUUUUUAUGUAAAGAAGAUAUUUUCAACUCUAGGUAACAGCAAGCAGCAUGACUUACCAGAUGAUAAGAGUAUGUUUAGUUUUCUAAGAAAAUAGCAAACUUUCCUCCAAAGUGGUGGUACCAUUUUUCAAACCCAUCAGCAAUGAAUAAGAAUGUUACUCCAUAUCCUUCAGUGUCAGCGCUUAGAACUUUGACCAUUCUAAUAGGUGUGUAGGGGUAUCUUAUGGUUGUUUUGAAUUUUCCAGAUAAUAUAAGAUGCAAAGCAUCUUCCUAUGUGCUUAUUUGCCAUCUGUAUUUUUGCUGAGGUGUCUGUUAAGAUUUUUUGCCAUUUUAAAUUGAGUUUUUUACUGAAUUUUAAGGGUUUCUUUUUUCUUUCUUUUUUUUUUUUUUUUUAAAGAUUUUGUUUAUUUAUUUAUGAGAGAGAGAGAGACAGAGAAUAGGCAAAGGGUUCCUGGGAUCACACCCUGAGCUGAAGGCAGAUGCUCAACCACUGAGCCAUCCAGGCGUCCCGAAUUUUAAGGGUUCUUUAUAUUUUUUAUAUAACGGUCCUUUAACAGAUGUCUUCUGCAAAUAUUUUCUCCAAGUCUGUGGCUUGUCUUUUAAUUCUUUUCAUUGUUUUAGCAGAAUAAAAAGUUUUAAUGAAGUUCAGAAAAUUAUUUCUUUUGUGAAUUGUUUCUAUUGUUUUAUUUAAAAGAUCACUGCCAAACCCAAUGUUAUAGAAGUUUUCUAUUUUCUAUAAGAUUUAUAGAUUUGCAUUUUAUAUUUAGAUCUGUGAUCUAUUUUGAGUUAAUUUUUGUGAAAAGUGUAAAGUCUAGGUUAAUUUCUUGCAUGUAGACAUUUAGUUGUUCCAGCAUUUGUUGAAAAACAAUCUUCUCAAUUGUACUGCCUUUGCUCCUUUGUCAAGUAUCAUCUGACUAUAUUUUUGUGGGUGUUUAUACUACUGUGGGUUUUCUAUACUGCUCCAUUGAUCUCUUUGUUUCUCCAAUACAAUACUGCCUGAUUACCGUAUCUUUUUUUAAAAAAAAAAACUUGUUUAUUUAUUCAUGAGAGAUACAGAAAGAGAGGCAGAGACACAGGCAGAGGGAGAAGCAGGCUCCCCAUGGGAAGCCUGAUGCAGGACUCAAUCUUAUGACCCUGGGAUCACAACCUGAGCAAAAGGCUGAUUGAUGCUCAACCACUGAGCCACCCAGGUGCCACGUGAUUACUGUAUCUUUACAUUUAGUUUCUGAAGUUGGGUAGUGUCAGCUCUCUUUGUUCUCUCUCAAUAUUGUGUUGGCUAUUCAGGGUCUUUGUUCCUCUAAGUAAACUUUAGCAUCAGUUAGUUGAUAGCCACAAAAAAAGAAUUUCUGGAAUUUUUAUUAGAAUUGCAUUAAAUCUAUAGAUCAAUUUGGGGAACAGUGAAAUCUUAACCAUAUUGAGUGUUCCUAUCCAUGAACCUGAAAUUCUUCAUUUAUUUAGUUUAAUAUCUUUAAUCAGAGUUUUGUAGUUGUCUUCAUAUAGUCUUGUAUAUAUCUUGUUAGAUUUAUACCUAAGCAUUUUAUUUUUUGGGUACUAAUGUGAGUGGUAUUGUGUUUAAUUUCAAAUUCCACUAGCUCAUUGCUGUUUUAUAAGAAAGGGAUUUACUUUCGUAUUUUUACCUUAUAUCCUGAAAUCUGGUGCUUUUUGUUUUGGAAAAUUAAUUAUUAAUUCAAUUUCUGUAGUGGCUAUGGCCUAUUUAUAUUGUCUAUUUCUUGUGUAAAUUUUGACAGAUAGUGUCUUUCAAGGAGUUGGUCUAUUUAAUCCAGGCUAUCAAAUUUGUGGGUACAGUAUGCCUUGAUAACCCUUUCAAUGUCUACGGAUUCUAAAGUGACAUCCUCUUGUUAACUUCUGGUGCCAGUAAGUUGUGUGUUCUCCUUUUUCUUAGACCAGCUAGAAGUUUAUCAAUUUUAUUAUCUUUUAAAAAAACAAGCUUUUUUUUUAAAUACUGAAAAAAGUUAACAGUUUAUUAUAAUUUAUUUUAUUUAACAAUCUAGGAAGUUCGCAGCCAUCAGCAGUUCCAGUGCAAUUUCAGGUGCAAUUGGGAAUUCAGGAAUCUCUGUGGAGCUGUUAGUGUAGUGAACCUUGUAGGUAAAAUACAUGCAUACUUUUGAUAGCACAUGUGAAGGGAUCUCUCUAAAAUUGACUUCAUUAGUUUCAUUCUCAGCCAACUGACCUGGGCCACUCAACAUGGCUUUUAUUGUUCCGGAUGUUAGUGCAUGUUCUCUUUUUACAAUAAAUUCAUGACCAUCCGAAGAUAUCAAUUUGACAUACAUGGCAUCAGGGCCUUCACAGCCACCAUAGGUUUUCUCUUCUCCAUCAUGUUCUUAUGAAAUUCUACUUUACUUCGACAGGAACUUUAGUAGUUGUUUCUCGUCAGCCUUGCAGCCACCAUAUCCAUCGUGCCAGCUCCCCACACACCACCAUAGCCCCCACUCCAGGGCCCAAAAACAAGCUUUUUAAUGUCAUUUGUUUUCUCUCUUUUGAUUUCUUGUUUUCAAUGUUAUUUAUAUAUGCUCUAAUUUUCAUUAUUUAUUUUCUUCUGCUUACUUUGAACUUAAUGGGCUCUUUUUCUAGUUUCCUAAGGGGCAGUUUAAAUGAUUGAUACUAGAUCUUUUUCAACAUAUGCAGUUACUGAUAUAAAUUAUCCUCUAAACACUGCUUGCACUAUGUUCCAUUAAUUUUGAUUAGUUUUCAUUUUCAUUUAGCUGAAAAUAUUUCUAAAAUUUUCCUCAAGAUUUCUUUCUUGCCCCAUGUCUCAUUUAGAAGUACACUUUAAUCUCCAAGUGUUUUGGGGGAAUAUCCAACCAUCUUCUGAUUAUUGAUUUCUAGUUUAAUCCAUGUGGUUUGAGGGCAGAUAUUGCACAAUUAAUAUCCUUUUAAAAUUGUGUGUUUUGUGGUUGAAUGUGGACUAUUAAAUAGUUUCAUGUGAAUCUGAGACAAAUGUGUAACAUGCUGCUGUUGGAUGAAUUAGUCUAUUGAAGGUGCUGUUGAUGUCAAGCAAAUCUUCAGUGAUUUUCUCCACAUUGGAUCUGCCCAUUUCUGUGACAAGUGCUGAAGUCCCCAAGUCAAUAGUGAGUAGAUUGAUUUAUUUCUUCUUGCGGUUCUGUCAGUUUUUCCCUCACAUAUUUUGACAUUCUGUAUUUAG
rnacentral:lncRNA from 1 species